CAAAAGAGAGGAAGGCCAGACAGAGAGGAAGUUUGCCCUGCACACACAUACAGACCCACACUUAGAAACAUGCCCCGGCUCAUUUGUUCCCACUGACAGGAGAGGAGAGGGAUGGUUCUCUACAAGACAUGCCUAAGGGAGGAGGACAGGUCCAGGAAGUGGUGGCAGCAGGCUAAGCAAGGUAGGCCAGAUGUCCUUCUCCCUAGCUACGUCUUCCAGUUCUUUCUGGUGAUGAGGUGUUCCCAGGACAUAUGGGAUAUGAACUGCAAUCCCUUCAGUAUGUUCUGGGUUUGCCCAGAACACCUCCACCCAGAAGAAGGCGACCAGGGAGCAUCCUAAUCAGAUGCCCGAACUACCUAAACUGGAUCCUUUAAAUCCAUAGACGCAGCGGUUCUACUCAAGCUCUUUCUGUUAAUCUGACCUCAAAGCCCAAUUGAUACUUUCUGCAUCCCUGUGGAUUUAAGGGCCAACGUGACAUUUUGUCAUCCAGCCAUGUCUGGGAGGGCCCACAUGGACCAUGCAUUUGCAGCCCAAAAUUUGUGAUUUGAAUAAAACAAGUCCAAUCUUGUGCUUUCUGUCUCUACACAAAGCUCAUGAGCAUAGGUGAAGUCUGGAACAUAAAUUGACUCUGUAAAUCAAGAGUGCCGCCUUCAGGUUAAGCUCCCUCUUCACCUCUACAGCCUGGUAGAGCCAGGUUCAACUUUUUUGCUGGACCACCCUUCAUCCGUUUUUGCUGGAGCCCCCUGUGUCCAGACCGCUGUGCAAAUGCAGUGUUCUCAUUUAAAUGAAAGAGGGGGCUGUGUUUUUCCAUGCAAUGCUAAUUCCGGUCUGAACACUCUCAAGUAAAAAUCAUUAGCUAAUAUUAUAUUUUUCUGCUUAGAUGUUCUGUUGAAGAAGUUUGGGCUUCUGUAGGUGGCACUCUUUUCCUUUCCAAGCCACAGUGACUGUCACUAUCAUGCUAAACAAGAUGCAUCUUCUUCUAAUUAUUUCAAACUGCUGUUGAGGCUGCCAAAUACAAGACACAUUACUUCCCAUGAUGCUACUUGUUCCAGAGGAUUCUUCAUGGGAAUGAAUUACAUAACACUGAGUGUUUACUACAGCAAAGCUCCGGGUACAACAAACAAAUAAAAGCAUUAAGAACUGAA